rnacentral:pre_miRNA from 1 species
GCUACCUGGGGACCUUGUUAAAAUGCAGAUUCUGAUUCUGUAGGUCUGGGGUGAGAGAGUCUGCGUUUCUAACAAGCUCCCAAGUGAGGCCAA